rnacentral:rRNA from 1 species
CCUACGGGAGGCAGCAGUGGGGAAUAUUGGACAAUGGGGGGAACCCUGAUCCAGCGACGCCGCGUGAGUGAAGAAGUAUUUCGGUAUGUAAAGCUCUAUCAGAAGGGAAGAAAGAAAUGACGGUACCUGACUAAGAAGCCUCGGCUAACUACGUGCCAGCAGCCGCGGUAAUACGUAGGGGGCAAGCGUUAUCCGGAUUUACUGGGGGGAAAGGGAGCGUAGACGGUUACGCAAGUCUGGAGUGAAAGGCGGGGGCCCAACCCCCGGACUGCUAUGGAAACUGUAUAACUGGAGUGCAGGAGAGGUAAGUGGAAUUCCUAGGGUAGCGGUGGAAUGCGUAGAUAUUAGGAGGAACACCAGUGGCGAAGGCGGCUUACUGGACUGUAACUGACGUUGAGGCUCGAAAGCGUGGGGAGCAAACAGGAUUAGAUACCCCUGUAGUC